rnacentral:rRNA from 1 species
GCCUGGCCCUAAAUCUUGAUGCUUAAACCUACUAAAGCAUCCGCCCGAGAACUACGAGCACUAACGCUUAAAACUCUAAGGACUUGGCGGUGCCCCAAACCCACCUAGAGGAGCCUGUUCUGUAAUCGAUGAUCCACGAUAUACCUGACCAUUCCUUGCCAAACACAGCCUACAUACCGCCGUCGCCAGCCCACCUACACUGAAAGACCAACAGUGGGCGCAAUAGCCCAACCACGCUAAUAAGACAGGUCAAGGUAUAGCCUAUGGAAUGGAAGCAAUGGGCUACAUUUUCUAGCAUAGAACAUCAACGGCAAAGAGACAUGAAACUGUCUCUGGAAGGCGGAUUUAGCAGUAAAGCGGGACAAUCGAGCCCUCUUUAAGCCGGCCCUGGGACACGU